GACGGAGGAUGCAAGUGUUAUCCGGAAUCACUGGGCGUAAAGCGUCUGUAGGUGGUUUAAAAAGUCCACUGUUAAAAAUUGAAGCUUAACUUCAAAGAUGCCGUGGAAACUUUUUAAACUUGAGUAUGGUAGGGGUAGAGGGAAUUUCCAGUGGAGCGGUGAAAUGCGUAGAUAUUGGAAAGACCACCAAUGGCGAAGGCACUCUACUGGGCCAUUACUGACACUGAGAGACGAAAGCUAGGGGAGCAAACAGG
rnacentral:rRNA from 1 species